rfam:Brassica napus, WGS project CCCW01000000 data, contig: 6431
AUCUUUGCGCUUGGGGCAAUGACGCAGCUAAUGAGGUACUAACCGAGGCGCGUCUAUUGCUGGUUGAAAACUAUUUCCAAACCCCCUCUUAGGCCUUAGCUUGUCUUUGGCCUUCGAGAAUUUUUGGAAGGGCUCCCUUCGGGGUAAAGCC